rnacentral:rRNA from 1 species
UACGAAGGGGCUAGCGUUGCUCGGAAUCACUGGGCGUAAAGGGUGCGUAGGCGGGUUUUUAAGUCAGGGGUGAAAUCCUGGAGCUCAACUCCAGAACUGCCUUUGAUACUGAAGAUCUUGAGUUCGGGAGAGGUGAGUGGAACUGCGAGUGUAGAGGUGAAAUUCGUAGAUAUUCGGAAGAAACACCAGUGGCGAAGGCGGCUCACUGGCCCGGAACUGACGCUGAGGUGCGAAAGCGUGGGGAGCAAACAGG